UACGAAGGGGGCUAGCGUUGCUCGGAUUCACUGGGCGUAAAGGGUGCGUAGGUGGUGAGGUAAGUCGGAUGUGAAAGCUCGGAGCUCAACUCCGAAAUGGCAUUGGAAACUACCUUGCUCGAGGGUUGGAGGGGGGACUGGAAUACUUGGUGUAGCAGUGAAAUGCGUAGAUAUCAAGUGGAACACCAGUGGCGAAGGCGAGUCCCUGGACAACUCCUGACACUGAGGCACGAAAGCUAGGGGAGCAAACAGG
rnacentral:rRNA from 1 species